CAAGUCGAACGGCAGCACAGUGUGUAGCAAUACACACGGGUGGCGAGUGGCGGACGGGUGAGUAUAAAGUAGGAAUCUGCCUUAUAGACGGGGAUAACUUGGGGAAACUCGAGCUAAUACCGGAUAAGCACUACGGUGGAAAGUAUGGGACCGCAAGGCCAUACGCUAUAAGAUGAGCCUACGUCGGAUUAGUUAGUUGGUUAGGUAAAGGCUGACCAAGACGAAGAUCCGUAGCUGGUCUGAGAGGAUGAUCAGCCACACUGGGACUGAGACACGGCCCAGACUCCUACGGGAGGCAGCAGUGGGGAAUAUUGGACAAUGGGGGAAACCCUGAUCCAGCGAUGCCGCGUGUGCGAAGAAGGCCUGCGGGUUGUAAAGCACUUUAGUUGGGGAAGAAUGAGCGUAAUUCGAAUAGAGUUGCGCAGUGACGUUACCCAAAGAAUAAGCACCGGCUAACUCUGUGCCAGCAGCCGCGGUAAUACAGAGGGUGCGAGCGUUAAUCGGAAUUACUGGGCGUAAAGGGCGCGUAGGCGGUUGUAUAAGUUAGAUGUGAAAUCCCCGGGCUUAACCUGGGAAUGGCAUUUAAUACUGUAUGACUAGAGUAGAGUAGAGGGAAGUGGAAUUUCCGGUGUAGCGGUGAAAUGCGUAGAUAUCGGAAAGAACACCAGUGGCGAAGGCGGCUUCCUGGACUCAUACUGACGUUGAGGCACGAAAGCGUGGGUAGCAAACAGGAUUAGAUACCCUGGUAGUCCAUGCUGUAAACGAUGAAGACUGGAUGUUGGAGGGUUAAACUCUUCAGUAUCGAAGCUAACGCGAUAAGUCUUCCGCCUGGGGAGUACGGCCGCAAGGCUAAAACUCAAAGGAAUUGACGG
rnacentral:rRNA from 1 species